GGGUUGUGAGGUUAAGCGACUAAGCGUACACGGUGGAUGCCCUGGCAGUCAGAGGCGAUGAAGGACGUGCUAAUCUGCGAUAAGCGUCGGUAAGGUGAUAUGAACCGUUAUAACCGGCGAUUUCCGAAUGGGGAAACCCAGUGUGAUUCGUCACACUAUCAUUAACUGAAUCCAUAGGUUAAUGAGGCGAACCGGGGGAACUGAAACAUCUAAGUACCCCGAGGAAAAGAAAUCAACCGAGAUUCCCCCAGUAGCGGCGAGCGAACGGGGAGGAGCCCAGAGCCUGAAUCAGUGUGUGUGUUAGUGGAAGCGUCUGGAAAGGCGCGCGAUACAGGGUGACAGCCCCGUACACAAAAAUGCACAUACUGUGAGCUCGAUGAGUAGGGCGGGACACGUGGUAUCCUGUCUGAAUAUGGGGGGACCAUCCUCCAAGGCUAAAUACUCCUGACUGACCGAUAGUGAACCAGUACCGUGAGGGAAAGGCGAAAAGAACCCCGGCGAGGGGAGUGAAAAAGAACCUGAAACCGUGUACGUACAAGCAGUGGGAGCACGCUUCGGCGUGUGACUGCGUACCUUUUGUAUAAUGGGUCAGCGACUUAUAUUCUGUAGCAAGGUUAACCGAAUAGGGGAGCCGAAGGGAAACCGAGUCUUAACUGGGCGUUAAGUUGCAGGGUAUAGACCCGAAACCCGGUGAUCUAGCCAUGGGCAGGUUGAAGGUUGGGUAACACUAACUGGAGGACCGAACCGACUAAUGUUGAAAAAUUAGCGGAUGACUUGUGGCUGGGGGUGAAAGGCCAAUCAAACCGGGAGAUAGCUGGUUCUCCCCGAAAGCUAUUUAGGUAGCGCCUCGUGAACUCA
rnacentral:rRNA from 1 species